rnacentral:rRNA from 1 species
CUCGAGGCCAGAUCUUUCCGGUUGAUCCCGCCGGAACCGACCGCUAUCGGGGUAGGGCUAAGCCAUGCGAGUCGCGCGCCCGGGGGCGCCCGGGAGCGGCGCACGGCUCAGUAACACGUGCCUAACCUAACCUCGGGAGGGGGACACCCCCGGGAAUCUGGGGUCAAUCCCCCAUAGGGGAAGGGCGCUGGAAGGCCCCUUCCCCGAAAGGGACGGCGGCCGAUCCGUCGCCGUCCGCCCGAGGGUGGGGGCACGGCCCAUCAGGUAGUUGGCGGGUUAAAGGCCCGCCAAGCCGAAGACGGGUAGGGGCGGUGAGAGCCGCGAGCCCCGAGAUCGGCACUGAGACAAGGGCCGAGGCCCUACGGGGUGCAGCAGGCGCGAAUACUCCGCAAUGCGGGCAACCGCGACGGGGCUACCCCGAGUGCCGGGCGAAGAGCCCGGCUUUUGCCCGGUCUAAAACGCCGGGCGAAUAAGCGGGGGGCAAGUCUGGUGUCAGCCGCCGCGGUAAUACCAGCUCCGCGAGUGGUCGGGGUGUUUACUGGGCUUAAA